rnacentral:tRNA from 1 species
UUAUCCCCUAGUUUAAUGGUUAAAACUUUACUCUUCUAAAGUAAUUAUUUGGGUUCGAAUCCCAAGAGGAUAAU